CAGAGUUCAUGCCCUAACGGGUAGAUCUCCCACCCUGUGUUAUAAUUACUUUGUUGCUUUGGCGGACCGUUAGGCUCGCGUCUACCACCGGCUUUAGCCGGUGUGUGCCCGCCAGAGGACCCAAAACCCCGAAUUUUAGUGUCGUCUGAGUACUAUAUAAUAGUUA
rnacentral:misc_RNA from 1 species